AGAGUUUGAUCCUGGCUCAGGACGAACGCUGGCGGCGUGCCUAACACAUGCAAGUCGAGCGGAGGUGGUGGAAGGCGAAAGCCUAAAGCCACCUUAGCGGCGGACGGGUGAGUAACACGUAGGCAACCUACCCACCAUACGGGGAUAGCCCUGGGAAACCGGGGGUAAUACCCGAUACCUUUGCUGGCCGCUGGCUGGCAAAGAAAGCUGCCUUUUUAGGUGGCGGUGGUGGAUGGGCCUGCGGCCCAUCAGCUAGUUGGUGAGGUAACGGCUCACCAAGGCGACGACGGGUAGCCGGCCUGAGAGGGUGGACGGCCACACUGGGACUGGGACACGGCCCAGACUCCUACGGGAGGCAGCAGUGGGGAAUCUUGGGCAAUGGGGGAAACCCUGACCCAGC
rnacentral:rRNA from 1 species